UGAGGAAUAUUGGUCAAUGGGCGAGAGCCUGAACCAGCCAAGUAGCGUGCAGGAUGACGGCCCUAUGGGUUGUAAACUGCUUUUAUAUGGGAAUAAAGUGAGGGACGUGUCCCUUAUUGCAUGUACCAUAUGAAUAAGGACCGGCUAAUUCCGUGCCAGCAGCCGCGGUAAUACGGAAGGUCCAGGCGUUAUCCGGAUUUAUUGGGUUUAAAGGGAGCGUAGGCUGUUUGUUAAGCGUGUUGUGAAAUGUAAGAGUUCAACUUUUAGAUUGCAGCGCGAACUGGCAGACUUGAGUGCGCACAACGUAGGCGGAAUUCAUGGUGUAGCGGUGAAAUGCUUAGAUAUCAUGACGAACUCCGAUUGCGAAGGCAGCUUACGGGAGCGCAACUGACGCUAAAGCUCGAAGGUGCGGGUAUCGAACAGG
rnacentral:rRNA from 1 species